UUAAAAAAACAAUGGUAAAGUAAAUAUGUAAAUAAAUAUAAAUGUUUCUUUUAUGUAUAUAUAAUGAUUAUGUUUUGGUUUAUGAAUUAAUUUCUGUGAUUCAGUGCUUAAUCAAACCCGAGCCAUGUUUGUAGUAGGUGACGGUCGUUGCCGUCUUCUUCGUUCCAAAAUGUUGGACACACUCUUUCGCCGGUUGAGUCGCCAUUGUUAGGAUUUUAUGAUUUCCGUGCUUUUUCUGCAGCCAAGGAGAUUAUAUGAGUAGAGAAAAAAAACAUAAUGCGUUAAGCUUUUAUAGGUCAACGUGAUGAUGGACUGACUUUGAAGGCCCAUAAAUUAGGGUAACUAUGACCUGUUACAAUGUUUAUGGGUACAUAACUUAGAUUAACCGACUACAUCUUCUAAUAAACCAACGGGUUUCGUCAAUUUCGAAGAUUCGCAAAAAACGGAUGUAUGUGGUCAACCACUAGAUUUAGAUUUCAAAGAUGUGUUUUUUUUGUACCAUUUUCGCUAGGAACUUGUAAGUAUGCGAGCUAAACGACAACUUAUGGUUAAAAUGAUCGGUUAUAUCUUUCAUGUUUUUUGAUCAAAUGAGUUUCUAAUUUUGUUACC
rnacentral:sRNA from 1 species